AUGAACGACACUAGCAAACAAGGAUAAGUGAGUUUGUACCUCUUCCCCUUCAUCUGAAAGACCAUCACCAGAGACAAAAUCAUUCAAAUAUGCUGGUUCUCUUCUAACUCGGGGUGUCAUCGGAGGAGCCGCUUCAUCUUCUUCAUUGCCAUCACUGGAUUCGUCCCUCACUGGAGAAGCUAUGUUUUCUUCUUCACUACCAUCAUCGGAAUUCUCCACCUCUUCACCGUUU
rnacentral:lncRNA from 1 species